rnacentral:rRNA from 1 species
UACGUAGGGGGCGAGCGUUGUCCGGAGUUACUGGGCGUAAAGGGCACGCAGGCGGUCAUGUAAGUCUGUUCUGACAGCUCCUGGCUCAACCGGGAGAGGCGAACGGAAACUGUAUGACUUGAGGACUUCAGAGGGACACGGAAUUCCGGGUGGAGUGGUGAAAUGCGUAGAGAUCCGGAGGAACACCAAAGGCGAAGGCAGUGUCCUGGGAAGUACCUGACGCUCAGGUGCGAAAGCCAGGGGAGCGGACGGG